UGAAACUAUUGGUUGACAUAUUACAUUGUCUGAAUACAUGGAUUCAUUUAAAUGGAUGCAUAAGUAAUAUUAAAAAUGUAUCUGCUUACAGCCUAAAGUUGAAUAACAAGAAGAAAUAAAAAGGAAAGGACAUGACUGUAAUGAUUCAGGCAUUAUGGUAGCAGGCCCCUGUCACCUAGUCAGCCCACAUUCAAAGGACCCCUUUAAAAGAAAGACCUUCGCCCACUUACACUAUUUUCCCCCGUUCUCUCUUUUCCCUCUCUCUUUCCCGCUGUCGCCCUGGGCAGACAGGACUUUUCUUGUCCCCCUCUUCUCUUCUGUCCUCUCUUGUGUGUCUCUUUCCCUCUUUUUCUCUUUCCUUUCCCCUCCCUCUCCUUUCUAAUAAAACUUCUCACUUAAGCUCUGACUGCCUGACAUGUUUUUGCCCCACCUGGGUCAACCUCACCCGACAUGGAUUGCCCCACGAAGGGUCCCUCACGCUUUAUCAUAACAAUGACUGCUCCUAGGUAUGGUGGAAGAGAAAGUUUAUUAUAGAUUAAAGGGAGAGAGGGACAUCUGGGAGAGAGUCCAGAGUGGACAUGACCCUGAGUGUAUGUGUGUGUGUGGGGGGGAGCAGACCAAGGGAACCAGGUGCCAAAAAGGGGACCAGGAGGCACAAAAAGAGAGUUAAAAAAACAAAUCAAACCAAAAAUGGUUAGACUGCACAGCCCCUGGGUUGGAGACGUUUAGGGUAGGGGCAGGGUAUCCUAGCCAGGAAGGCCCUGUAACAGGUAGGGACUGGGGGAUGCUGGGAGAACCCGGCAGCCAGGUCCGCUUUUAUAUGUUAAACAGGCACUUCAUCCAGUUGUCCCGGGGUUUGAAACUUCACAAACAUUACCUAAGUAUUCUCCCCAUGUACUUCCUAUGCAAACACUGCUUCCUGCAGUGUGGUCUGGGGGUUUUGUACCAACGCAAGGCCAAGUGUCCUAUCUGUGGGCUUGCCUUCAGUUUAGAGGACAUAAAUCAAGCUAUUUUCCUGAGAGGGGGCUGACUCACAUUUCCUGAGCACACUGCCAAUGCACCAAACAAGGAGCUUUAUAAAAGCCUCUCCCGUGGUCACUCAAUCCCUCCAAACAGCUGAACUGGAAUUAAGUUGGCAACAAAUACUGAAUACCACCAAUGUCAGACAACUGAGGGUUUCUGCGGCAAGAGCAGAAUCAAAAAUAAUAAAACCAAAUUGCUGGAAAGCACCUACACUGCUUGCACAGGACUCCCGAAUCCAAGAAAAGCUUCCAGGCUUUUGUGCUGGCCCGGCUGAGGUUGAAUUGUUUCUAUUCUUUCCUGGUGUUGGGAACUUGAAAGAUUGACCUACAAAACAAGAACAUCCGAGGGCAAGAGAGAAGAGCUUGGAGUCUAGAUGAUUUGAGUAUGAAGGACUAUAGGAAGUCCACUGGCUGUGGGAUCUACACUCCUUAUUGUGGCUUGGAAGCAACAGGAAUCUGAUGGACAUGAUUGAUAGUUCCUGGGGACUGGCACUAAGCAGAGCCAUCCCUGUGGGGUGAAGGUCCCAGCUUCUACUUCCGGCAGGAGUAGAUGUAUCUUCACUGAAGUAGCCUCCUUUUGAUAGACCAUGUAAUUUGGGCAAUGGACAUCCCAUCAGCAAAGCAAUGGAUUGAGGGCUCUCCUCUUGCUCCUUUUCCUCAUGGGUUUUCUCAGUUAUAGAAGCCUUAAUUCUUUCAUGAAAGAUGAAGUGAGGCCCUCUAAAAAUAGUUGAUUAAAUUAUCAACCUUAGCCGGGCGUUGGUGGCGCACGCCAUUAAUCCCAGCACUCGGGAGGCAGAAGCAGGUGGAUCUCUGAGAGUUCGAGACCAGCCUGGUCUACAAGAGCUAGUUCCAGGAUAGGCUCCAAAGCCACAGAGAAACCCUGUCUCAAAAAAACAAAACACAACAAAAAAAAAUUAUCAACCUUAACAGACUUCAUUGUGUUAGUAAUGUCAACACAAAAACCAUUUAAAGCUCUCAUCUUAAAGGGAAUAAGAGAUGGUUUAUUCUGGAGCCAUGUUCAGUGACCGUGGCUUAGGUACCUAGAUUUGAGUUGCCCUAAAUCUCAUGUUCCAAUGUGAAAGUAGUUUCAUGGAGUUUUAUAGAUUUACAGAACAAAGAAAGUCAUGAAUCAAGGCAUAUUUAAAACACAGUGGAGGGUACAUCAGAUAGGCAGGUACAGUGAGAUAUAGGAAGAUUUCCCGUAAGCCCAACAUGCUUUUGGGUUAGUAGAAGCUAGUAGCCUGCUAAAUUAAUAAAUUCUAAAAGUUUUCGAUCUA